rnacentral:rRNA from 1 species
CGACCGGCGCACGGGUGCGUAACGCGUAUACAAUCUACCUUAUACUGGGGGAUAGCCUUUAGAAAUGAAGAUUAAUACCCCAUGGUCUAUAGAUAUGGCAUCAUAUUUAUAGUAAAGGUUACGGUAUAAGAUGAGUAUGCGUCCUAUUAGUUAGUUGGUGUGGUAACGGCACACCAAGACUACGAUAGGUAGGGGCCCUGAGAGGGGGAUCCCCCACACUGGUACUGAGACACGGACCAG